AACCAGCUCUUAGAGUGGUGGGCGUGUUUAUUUGGCUUAAAGGGUGCGUAGCAGGACAGGAGAAGUCUGAAGUGAAAUCCUACGUCUCAAGCGUAGGGCGGGCUUUGGAUACUCUCCGUCUUGGGACCGGGAUAGGUAUGAUGUACGCGAUGGGUAGGGGUGAAAUCCGAUAAUCCAUCGCGGACAACCGGUGGCGAAGGCGUCAUACUGGAACGGGUCCGACUGUGAGGCACGAAAGCUAGGGUCGCGAGCCGGAUUAGAUACCCGGGUAGUCCUAUGCCAUAAACGAUGCGCACUAAGUGUUAGGCAAUGCACGACAUUGUCUAGUGCCGAAGGAAAACCGUUAAGUGCGCCGCCUGGGAAGUACGUUCGCAAGAAUGAAACUUAAAGGAAUUGGCGGGGGCCUACUACAAGAAGUGGAGCCUGCGGUUUAAUUGGACUCAACUCCGGGAAGCUCACCUGCGCCGUAGCAUGAAUGAUUGUCCUGCUGAAGACACUACUUGACGUGCUACUGGAGAUGCAUGGCCAUCGUCAGUUCGUGCCGUGAGGUGUCCUGUUAAGUCAGGCAACGAACGAGAUCCCUACCGCUAAUUGCCAGCGAGACCCCCGGGUCGUCGGGGACAUUAGCGGGACUGCGCGCGAAAAAGUGCGAGGAAGGAAGGGCCAACGGUAGGUCAGUAUGCCCCGAUAUGCGCAGGGCUACACGCGGGCUACAAUGGCUAGUACAGAGGGUCACCAACACCGAAAGGUGACGGUAAUCUCUAAAGCUAGUCUCAGUUGGGAUUGUGGGCUGCAACUCGCCCACAUGAACUUGGAAUUUCUAGUAAGCGCGGGUCAGCAGCCCGUGCUGAAUACGUCCCUGGGCCU
rnacentral:rRNA from 1 species